AGAACGCACUAGGGCCUUCUAAAAUAGUACUUUAGUGUAGAUUUAGACCAAUUUAGGAACUAGCUUGGGAAACAAGUCAAAAAAUGAGGGAUUAAUCUAAAAUAAACUAGGGAAUGAAUUUGAAACCUAAAAAUCUAAGGGUUGCCCUCAUUUUACCUAUAAAAGGCAUGUCAAUGCCUUAUGUCACAAGUUUUGGAGCCCAAAAAAUUUCCCCAAAGUAUGCUCUCUAAAUUUCAGAUCUAAGAUCUGAAAUCCAAACCCCAAAAACUUCAAAACACCAAAAAAGAGAAAAAAAAUAGAAACUCAAAGAAAAAAAUAAAAAAUGUUACAAUUCCAUUAAAAUUAGGGACUGAUUUCAGUUUCUAUUCGUUAAUUCACAUUCUAUAGCUACUAUUGCUGUUUGGUGAAGUGCAGAGAAUCACUUCAAGGGCAAUUGAAUCAAAUUAAGUGGGUAUUUGGCUAGGAUUUGCACCAGUGCACUGAUCAAAGGGUUUUCAGUUCUGUUUCGAAUUGGUUUGGAUUAUUUGUUGGUUGUCUAUGCGUUGGUGUUCAAUUCUGGUUGGUUUGUUGCUGUGUUGAAGUGGAUCUGCUAGAUUUUGUUUGAUUUAAACGUAUCUGGGCUACUCAUUCUAUUUCCUGGGCUAUUUUAAGUAUUAAGCUACUGAUGUUGUUCACCUGCUUCUGUUCUUCUUCUGUUGUAAUUCAAAAAUCACGUACACACCUUCGAGUUUGAAUCCAUGCAGUGUAUCCAGUUGAAAAAUGAAAUGAAACAGGAGCUAUAUUUCGUUGGAGGCUUCAUUAGUUGCCAUGUUUUUAUUAUCCUUGACUGUAACGACUUAGUUGUAUUGAACUGUUGAUUUGUGUCAAUUAUUGUUGAUAAUAGACUGUUGAAUCGUCCAGGGAACUUAUGGUUAGUAGCUGAUUGAAAUACUAAUUGUCAUCAGCUAUACUUGGUCUAAUUGUUCAAUUUAAACUUGCGAGUUAGCAUACUCUUUUGAACAUCAAUGGAUGUUAAUUGAAUUGGUAAUAACAAGCACGCAAUUGAUUCAUGCUCUUCGAAGUUCGCUCCAGUUGAAUUUAAUAACCAGUAGGCAUUUAGUUGUUGAUUAAUGUUGGAAUUAAUAAAUCAUAGCUGAUAUUGCUAAUUGUGUUGAGAAGCAUUACUGAAAUCAAGCAUGACUAGGUGUUUUUUAACGUAAAGUUGAACGUGGUUAAUCCGCCCAGUUGCUGUUAAUUACACGUUAAAUCGUCCAGGGAACUUAUGGUUAGUAGCUGAUUGAAAUACUAAUUGUCAUCAGCUAUACUUGGUCUAAUUGUUCAAUUUAAACUUGCGAGUUAGCAUACUCUUUUGAACAUCAAUGGAUGUUAAUUGAAUUGGUAAUAACAAGCACGCAAUUGAUUCAUGCUCUUCGAAGUUCGCUCCAGUUGAAUUUAAUAACCAGUAGGCAUUUAGUUGUUGAUUAAUGUUGGAAUUAAUAAAUCAUAGCUGAUAUUGCUAAUUGUGUUGAGAAGCAUUACUGAAAUCAAGCAUGACUAGGUGUUUUUUAACGUAAAGUUGAACGUGGUUAAUCCGCCCAGUUGCUGUUAAUUACAUUUUAGUUUGAAGCCCUAUAAUUUCAUUGGUCAUUGUCAAUA
rnacentral:lncRNA from 1 species